UGGCUCAGAACGAACGCUGGCGGCGUGCCUAACACAUGCAAGUCGAACGAGAAAGUGGAGCAAUCCAUGAGUAAAGUGGCGUACGGGUGAGUAACACGUGGGUAAUCCACCCUUUAGUGGGGAAUAACCCUGGGAAACCGGGGCUAAUACCGCAUAAGCCUGAGAAGGGAAAGCAGCAAUGCGCUGAAGGAGGAGCCCGCGGCCGAUUAGCUAGUUGGUGAGGUAACGGCCCACCAAGGCGAUGAUCGGUAGCCGGCCUGAGAGGGCACACGGCCACACUGGCACUGAAACACGGGCCAGAGACCUACGGGAGGCAGCAGUGGG
rnacentral:rRNA from 1 species